rnacentral:rRNA from 1 species
CCCUUAGAUGUUCUGGGCCGCACGCGCGCUACACUGAUGCAUUCAACGAGUCUAAAACCUGCUCUGAUAGGGGUGGGUAAUCUUUUGAAUGUGCAUCGUGAUUGGGAUAGAUGAUUGCAAUUUUUCAUCUUCAACGAGGAAUGCCUAGUAAACGCAAGUCAUCAGCUUGCAUUGAUUACGUCCCUGCCCUUUGUACUCACCGCCCGUCGCUCCUACCGAUUGAAUGAUCCGAUGAAUAUCAUGGAUUGAGGAUGCAAGCAGGUUCGCCUGUCUUCAUCUUCGAGAAGUGAAGUAAAUCUUAUCAUUUAGAGGAAGGAGAAGUCGUAACA